rnacentral:rRNA from 1 species
UGCCCGUAGUCAUAUGCUUGUCUCAAAGAUUAAGCCAUGCAUGUCUCAGUGCAAGCCGUCUAGUACGGUGAAACCGCGAAAGGCUCAUUAAAUCAGUUAUGGUUCCUUAGAUCGUACCCACGUUACUUGGAUAACUGUGGUAAUUCUAGAGCUAAUACAUGCCGACAGAGUUCCGACCAACUUUCGAGAUUCGUCUUUGCAAGUUCGGAAGGAACGCUUUUAUUAGAUCAAAACCGUCCAGACGGCGGCGUUUCGCAUUCGUGCUGCGUCGUCGUUAGCGGCCCGCGCAAAGAUUUGGUGACUCUGAAUAACUUCGAGCUGAUCGCACGGUCCUCGUACCGGCGACGUAUCUUUCAAAUGUCUGCCUUAUCAACUGUCGACGGUAGGUUCGACGCCUACCGUGGUGGUAACGGGUAACGGGGAAUCAGGGUUCGAUUCCGGAGAGGGAGCCUGAGAAACGGCUACCACAUCCAAGGAAGGCAGCAGGCGCGCAAAUUACCCACUCCCAGCUCGGGGAGGUAGUGACGAAAAAUAACGAUACGGGACUCAUUUGAGGCCCCGUAAUCGGAAUGAGUACACUUUAAAACCUUGGUUC